UUGAACGCUGGCGGCAGGCCUAACACAUGCAAGUCGAGCGGUUGGGAGUAGCUUGCUACUUGAUGCAGCGGCGGACGGGUGAGUAACGCGUGGGAAUCUGCCCAGUAGUGGGGGACAACAGCCGGAAACGGCUGCUAAUACCGCAUACGCCCUACGGGGGAAAGGGGGGGAUCUUCGGACCUCUCGCUAUUGGAUGAGCCCGCGUCGGAUUAGCUAGUUGGUAGGGUAAAGGCCUACCAAGGCUACGAUCCGUAACUGGUCUGAGAGGAUGAUCAGUCACACUGGAACUGAGACACGGUCCAGACUCCUACGGGAGGCAGCAGUGGGGAAUAUUGGACAAUGGGGGAAACCCUGAUCCAGCCAUGCCGCGUGUGUGAAGAAGGCCUUAGGGUUGUAAAGCACUUUCAGUGGGGAGAAAGGUUUGUCACCUAAUACGUGAUGAAAUUGAUGUUACCCACAGAAGAAGCACCGGCUAACUCCGUGCCAGCCGCCGCAGUAA
rnacentral:rRNA from 1 species